GCCCCGGUAAACGGCGGCCGUAACUAUAACGGUCCUAAGGUAGCGAAAUUCCUUGUCGGGUAAGUUCCGACCUGCACGAAUGGCGUAAUGAUGGCCAGGCUGUCUCCACCCGAGACUCAGUGAAAUUGAACUCGCUGUGAAGAUGCAGUGUACCCGCGGCAAGACGGAAAGACCCCGUGAACCUUUACUAUAGCUUGACACUGAACAUUGAGCCUUGAUGUGUAGGAUAGGUGGGAGGCUUUGAAGUGUGGACGCCAGUCUGCAUGGAGCCGACCUUGAAAUACCACCCUUUAAUGUUUGAUGUUCUAACGUUGGCCCGUAAUCCGGGUUGCGGACAGUGUCUGGUGGGUAGUUUGACUGGGGCGGUCUCCUCCUAAAGAGUAACGGAGGAGCACGAAGGUUGGCUAAUCCUGGUCGGACAUCAGGAGGUUAGUGCAAUGGCAUAAGCCAGCUUGACUGCGAGCGUGACGGCGCGAGCAGGUGCGAAAGCAGGUCAUAGUGAUCCGGUGGUUCUGAAUGGAAGGGCCAUCGCUCAACGGAUAAAAGGUACUCCGGGGAUAACAGGCUGAUACCGCCCAAGAGUUCAUAUCGACGGCGGUGUUUGGCACCUCGAUGUCGGCUCAUCACAUCCUGGGGCUGAAGUAGGUCCCAAGGGUAUGGCUGUUCGCCAUUUAAAGUGGUACGCGAGCUGGGUUUAGAACGUCGUGAGACAGUUCGGUCCCUAUCUGCCGUGGGCGCUGGAGAACUGAGGGGGGCUGCUCCUAGUACGAGAGGACCGGAGUGGACGCAUCACUGGUGUUCGGGUUGUCAUGCCAAUGGCACUGCCCGGUAGCUAAAUGCGGAAGAGAUAAGUGCUGAAAGCAUCUAAGCACGAAACUUGCCCCGAGAUGAGUUCUCCCUGACUCCUUGAGGG
rnacentral:rRNA from 1 species